CCGAAGUAUUUCGAGGCCGGCUAAGCGCGCUUUCCAAGCUGUUCUAGGUGAAGAGAGUUUUGCUCUCUAUGUAACAAAAUUGCUACUACCGCUACAAGGCUACCAGGACUGAGCGAAUCCAACGUAUCAGCCAGUUUGCUGGCAGUCCACCGCAAUGGGAGAAGCUGCCGCUCUUGUGCCUUCAUCCAGAUGCGUCCAUGAAAGAGGAAGAGUCCGCUCUCUAAAGGGGUUCCAGUCGUGGCUGCGCUGCUGCCACUUCUGCUGCCGCGGCAUUCGAGUUUGAGAAAUCCGUGUCCGGCAACUUUGCAGUGAUCCAGACGACUUCCAUGUCUUCCAAGUCACUGAAGGCCUGCAAGCUCUGCCUGGUAGGUUUCCACUCCUUGGACUGCUCCCGGAAGGUGUCGCCCUCCUCCUCGUUCCCGAAACAGAGACGCCGGGCGAAGCUCUGGAAGGGCGACGACAGCAGCGUGCAGGACUCGGAACCUGUGCGGUCGAGAAAACAACUGUGGCUGUGAACAAUGAACGAGGCACGCUCUUUAUUUUGUUUUUCCAGUCAACCUGUCAGGGUUUUCUCGCAUCUCUGCGUGUUCUUUGGUCCCUUCUUGGAGGGGGGAUUUCCUUACAGUGCGUAGCAUUCUCUUUCUAUCUGUUUCGUUAGUUUCGUUUCAGCUCUACAGGCUUGCGAGAUGGCUGGAAGAUUAAGUUACAAGUGUGGCUUUUCUUCUUACCUGGAAUGCAGAGAACUCGUCGAGGGGCUCCUUGUUCA